rnacentral:rRNA from 1 species
UACAGAGGUCCCAAGCGUUGUUCGGAUUCACUGGGCGUAAAGGGUGCGUAGGCGGUCGGGUAAGUCUGAUGUGAAAUCUCACAGCUUAACUGUGAAACUGCAUUGGAUACUAUCCGGCUAGAGGAAUGGAGGGGAGACUGGAAUACUUGGUGUAGCAGUGAGAUGCGUAGAUAUCAAGUGGAACACCAGUGGCGAAGGCGAGUCUCUGGGCAGUAACUGACGCUGAGGAGCGAAAGCGUGGGGAGCGAACAGG